AUAAAAAGAAACGCUAAAAAGUAGAAUCUAUUCACGUGUUUGGUUCUACAAAGGGGAAUUUAAUCCCCACUCAUCUGAGAUACACUGCACUUCAUCUUCAUCUGCUUUCCUUUCUCCCUCUUCAUCUACACUUCCUUUGCCGGCGAACAAUCUCUCUUCUGAAAGCCCACCAACUUAACUUCGCCACCGAUGCACCAAACGUCCUCAUCAGCAGCCUCUGUGGAAGCAUUUAUAUGAAAAAUCAGUGUUAUCGAUAACUGUGUCCAGAUUGCAAUUGAUCAAACGGGUGGUGGACAUGGUUGCAGGAAGAACACAUGGGGAAAAAAAGGAGAUCCGGGUCUCCGCUCUCCGGUCACCACUCACAAGAUAGUUUUGUUGAUUUUAGGACUUUAUCCACUACAAGAAAAAACGAUUAUUAGCGGCGACAAAAAAGCACCGCAAAGAGUUUGCUUAGUCACCAAUAAAAGUAAUAAUGGAGACAAGUCGCUGCUACUGUCCCUCGUUAUUGAUCAAAAUGUCGCCGGUAAAGCUUAUUGUCGCCAUUAGUAGAUCCAAAUGAGUUGUACUUCCAAUUAGUUUAAACCAAUAUAUACUUGUCGUGCUUCACCACAUAUAUAGAUAUAUUUGUCGUGCUUCGCCACAUAUACUUAUCCUUAACAUAUGUGCGUGUGUGUGUGAACAUAAUGUUGAAAUGUAAAACUCAUUUUUCUAAAUAUUUGAUUUCCCUAGCAUUA